rnacentral:tRNA from 1 species
UGUCAGGUAGCUUAGUGGUUUAGAGCAGUCGCCCGGCAAGCGAAAGACCCGGGUUCGAUUCCCGAUCUUAGAG